GACGAACGCUGGCGGCGUGCUUAACACAUGCAAGUCGAACGAGAAAGGCUCUUCGGAGCUGAGUACAGUGGCGAACGGGUGAGUAACACGUGGGCAACCUGCCCUAGGGAGCGGGACAACUCGGGGAAACCCGAGCUAAUACCGCAUGAUUCGUGCAGUCAUAAGGCCGCACGGGAAAUGGUAGCUUCGGCCUCCGCCCUGGGAUGGGCCCGCGGCGCAUUAGCUUGUUGGUGUGGGUAACGGCCCACCAAGGCGACGAUGCGUAGCUGGUCUGAGAGGACGAUCAGCCACACUGGGACUGAGACACGGCCCAGACUCCUACGGGAGGCAGCAGUGGGGAAUCUUGCGCAAUGGGCGGAAGCCUGACGCAGCAACGCCGCGUGUGGGAAGACGGCCUUCGGGUUGUAAACCACUUUCAGGGGGGACGAAGCUUCCGAGGUUAAUAGCCUACGGGGUGACGGUACCCCCAGAAGAAGCCCCGGCUAACUACGUGCCAGCCGCCGCCGUAACAC
rnacentral:rRNA from 1 species